UACGAAGGGUGCAAGCGUUGUUCGGAAUCACUGGGCGUAAAGAAUGCGUAGGCGGCUAGACAAGUCGGGAGUGAAAUCCCAGGGCUCAACCCUGGAACUGCUCUCGAAACUGUCUUGCUAGAGUCCCGGAGGGGUUAGCGGAAUUCCGAGUGUAGAGGUGAAAUUCGCAGAUAUUCGGAGGAACACCAGUGGCGAAGGCGGCUAACUGGACGGGAACUGACGCUGAGGCAUGAAAGUGUGGGGAUCAAACAGG
rnacentral:rRNA from 1 species